CUUCUCCGUACUACACCGUAUCUACACAAUUGCACUUGAAAAUGAGAUAAGAUAAGACGCAAGAGAAGAGAGAGGAAAAGAGAAAAAAUGUGAAAUAUACGAAGAAUUCAGCUGACUAUUGAAGGUAGUUGUUCUGCUUGUGUCCGCUUGGUCUCAUCGAAACUGUACUACCUGGUACUACCUUGUGAUAUUCAUUAUACUGUGACUCUUCGGAGAAAGAAGACAAAUUCAGCUGCAGGAUGAAAUCUUUAUGAUUACUUGGAAACUGGACUGCAUGUGAAAUGUUGCAUGUUAAAUAAAAAAUAUUCAGCACGUGGAUUUUAUUUUUAACAAAAGUGUAUUCACUCUGUAGUACAUAAAGCAAACUCUUGGUAAAUAAACAUCAUCUAUUCAUGUGCUAUUUGUUGCAAUAUAACUAACGUCAUUGUUAGUGGAGUAGAUAUAACUAAUUGAAAAAUAAAAAGGGAAGAAAAGUGUAUAAGUUAUUAUGAAGAUUGAAACGUUUGUAUUCUUUGAUCUGGAAACGACUAAUCUUAUUCAAGCAAAUGUCAUGCCAAGAAUCACAGAAGUUGCUUUAGUUGCCGUCUCGCGAGAAUCAAUAUUUAGUUGCAACAAAAAUUCACUGCCAAGAGUCUUGCAUAAACUGGUUCUCCCAGUUAAUCCACAAAGAAUCAUACCACCACAUGUGGAGGACAUGACAAG
rnacentral:lncRNA from 13 species